UGGAUGUGAUGAGAAAAUUCUUGGUCCGUGUUACUGAUGUCGAAUGAUCGUACUUAACUAUAUUUUCUGAUCCA